rnacentral:rRNA from 1 species
CNUGCAGUCGAGCGGAUGACAGGAGCUUGCUCCUGAAUUCAGCGGCGGACGGGUGAGUAAUGCCUAGGAAUCUGCCUGGUAGUGGGGGACAACGUUUCGAAAGGAACGCUAAUACCGCAUACGUCCUACGGGAGAAAGCAGGGGACCUUCGGGCCUUGCGCUAUCAGAUGAGCCUAGGUCGGAUUAGCUAGUUGGUGAGGUAAUGGCUCACCAAGGCGACGAUCCGUAACUGGUCUGAGAGGAUGAUCAGUCACACUGGAACUGAGACACGGUCCAGACUCCUACGGGAGGCAGCAGUGGGGAAUAUUGGACAAUGGGCGAAAGCCUGAUCCAGCCAUGCCGCGUGUGUGAAGAAGGUCUUCGGAUUGUAAAGCACUUUAAGUUGGGAGGAAGGGCAUUAACCUAAUACGUUAGUGUUUUGACGUUACCGACAGAAUAAGCACCGGCUAACUCUGUGCCAGCAGCCGCGGUAAUACAGAGGGUGCAAGCGUUAAUCGGAAUUACUGGGCGUAAAGCGCGCGUAGGUGGUUCGUUAAGUUGGAUGUGAAAGCCCCGGGCUCAACCUGGGAACUGCAUUCAAAACUGACGAGCUAGAGUAUGGUAGAGGGUGGUGGAAUUUCCUGUGUAGCGGUGAAAUGCGUAGAUAUAGGAAGGAACACCAGUGGCGAAGGCGACCACCUGGACUGAUACUGACACUGAGGUGCGAAAAGCGUGGGGAGCAAACAGGAUUAGAUACCCUGGUAGUCCACGCCGUAAACGAUGUCAACUAGCCGUUGGGAGCCUUGAGCUCUUANUGGCGCANNUAACGCAUUAAGUUUGANCGCCUGGGGAGUACNGCCGCAAGGUUNA